rnacentral:rRNA from 1 species
CUACGGGGUGCAGCAGUGGGGAAUCUUGUGCAAUGGGCGAAAGCCUGACACAGCAACGCCGCGUGCGGGAAGAAGGCCUUCGGGUCGUAAACCGCUUUCAGCAGGAACGAAAAUGACGGUACCUGCAGAAGAAGGUGCGGCCGACUACGUGCCAGCAGCCGCGGUGACACGUAGGCACCAAGCGUUGUCCGGAUUUAUUGGGCGUAAAGAGCUCGUAGGCGGUUCAGCAAGUCGGGUGUGAAAACUCUGGGCUUAACCCAGAGCCUGCACCCGAAACUGCUGUGACUAGAGUUCGGUAGGGGAGCGGGGAAUUCCUGGUGUAGCGGUGAAAUGCGCAGAUAUCAGGAGGAACACCGGUGGCGAAGGCGCCGCUCUGGGCCGAAACUGACGCUGAGGAGCGAAAGCGUGGGUAGCAAACAGGAUUAGAUACCCCAGUAGUC